rnacentral:rRNA from 12 species
CUUUACUGUAGCUUGAUAUUGAGUAUUUGUUAAACAUGUACAGGAUAGGUAGGAGCCAAGGAAGGCAGGACGCUAGUUUUGCUGGAGGCAAUGUUGGGAUACUACCCUUGUUUGAAGGAUGCUCUAACCUCGACCUGUAAGCCAGGCCAGGGACAGUGUCAGGUGGGCAGUUUGACUGGGGCGGGUGGCUCCCUAAAUGUAA